rnacentral:rRNA from 1 species
UACGUAGGGGGCAAGCGUUGUCCGGAAUUAUUGGGCGUAAAGCGCGCGCAGGCGGUGAUUUAAGUUUGGUGUUUAAGCCCAGGGCUCAACCCUGGUACGCACCGAAAACUGGGUCACUUGAGUACAGAAGAGGAGAGUGGAAUUCCACGUGUAGCGGUGAAAUGCGUAGAGAUGUGGAGGAACACCAGUGGCGAAGGCGACUCUCUGGUCUGAAACUGACGCUGAGGCGCGAAAGCGUGGGGAGCAAACAGG